rnacentral:rRNA from 1 species
UACGAGGGGGGCGAGCGUUGUUCGGAAUUAUUGGGCGUAAAGGGUGCGUAGGCGGUUUGGUAAGUCUUGUGUGAAAUCUCCAGGCUCAACUUGGAGUCUGCACGAGAAACUGCCGGGCUUGAGUGUGGGAGAGGUGAGUGGAAUUCCCGGUGUAGCGGUGAAAUGCGUAGAUAUCUGGAGGAAUACCGGUGGCGAAGGCGGCAUCCUGGACCAUUACUGACGCUGAGGCGCGAAAGCUAGGGGAGCAAACGGG